rnacentral:rRNA from 1 species
ACGGGAGGCAGCAGUGGGGAAUAUUGCACAAUGGGGGAAACCCUGAUGCAGCGACGCCGCGUGAGUGAUGAAGUAUUUCGGUAUGUAAAGCUCUAUCAGCAGGGAAGAUAAUGACGGUACCUGACUAAGAAGCACCGGCUAAAUACGUGCCAGCAGCCGCGGUAAUACGUAUGGUGCAAGCGUUAUCCGGAUUUACUGGGUGUAAAGGGUGCGUAGGUGGUAUGGCAAGUCAGAAGUGAAAUGUAGGGGCUCAACCCCUAAACUGCUUUUGAAACUGUCAAACUAGAGUGCAGGAGAGGAAAGCGGAAUUCCUAGUGUAGCGGUGAAAUGCGUAGAUAUUAGGAGGAACACCAGUGGCGAAGGCGGCUUACUGGACUGUAACUGACGUUGAGGCUCGAAAGCGUGGGGAGCAAACAGGAUUAGAUACCCUGGUA